rnacentral:rRNA from 1 species
CCUACGGGUGGCAGCAGUGGGGAAUAUUGGACAAUGGGGGCAACCCUGAUCCAGCCAUGCCGCGUGUGUGAAGAAGGCCCUCGGGUUGUAAAGCACUUUCAGUGAGGAAGAACGCCUGGUGGUUAAUACCCAUCAGGAAAGACAUCACUCACAGAAGAAGCACCGGCUAACUCCGUGCCAGCAGCCGCGGUAAUACGGAGGGUGCGAGCGUUAAUCGGAAUUACUGGGCGUAAAGCGCGCGUAGGUGGCUUGAUAAGCCGGUUGUGAAAGCCCCGGGCUCAACCUGGGAACGGCAUCCGGUACUGUCAAGCUAGAGUGCAGGAGAGGAAGGUAGAAUUCCCGGUGUAGCGGUGAAAUGCGUAGAGAUCGGGAGGAAUACCAGUGGCGAAGGCGGCCUUCUGGACUGACACUGACACUGAGGUGCGAAAGCGUGGGUAGCAAACAGGAUUAGAUACCCUUGUAGUC